rnacentral:rRNA from 1 species
ACUAACGCUGGCGGCGUGCCUAACACAUGCAAGUCGAACGAGGGUUCACGUGUAGCAAUACUCGUGAAUUUCUAGUGGCAGACGGGUGAGUAACGCGUAGAUAACGUGCCUUCCAGCUUGGGAUAGCUGGCCGAAAGGCCAGGUAAUACCAAAUGCGCUCGGGUCGGGACAUCUCGAUACGAGGAAAGCAGCAAUGCACUGGAUGAGCGGUCUGCGUCCUAUUAGCUAGUUGGUGGGGUAACAGCCUACCAAGGCGACGAUGGGUAGCCGGUCUGAGAGGAUGAUCGGCCACACUGGCACUGAGAUACGGGCCAGACUCCUACGGGAGGCAGCAGUGAGGGAUUUUGCGCAAUGGGCGAAAGCCUGACGCAGCGACGCCGCGUGAGGGAUGAAGGUCUUCGGAUUGUAAACCUCUGUCAGAGGGGAAGAGUAAGGACGGUACCCUCUGAGGAAGCUUCGGCUAACUACGU